CGCGUAUGGAAUAACAAGUAGGGACACUGCAACUAAUCUACUCUGCUCGUCCAGUCCCUAGCCUAUAAAUAGAUGCCAUGCUAGCUCUUGUUGUGCUCACAAUUAAUCCGAUUACACACGAGCUUCUCUCCCUGGCCAAGACACAACCAUAGUAUGAUGAAGAACAUGGCACUAGCCGGCAAUGGUAUGAAGAAGUUAAUCCUCGCUGUUCUCUUACUGUGUCUAGUUAUAGGGCAGAUACAAGUGGAAGCUAAGAGCUGCUGCCCAUCCACCACUGCAAGAAAUGUCUACAAUACCUGCCGUUUCACGGGUACAUCCCGUCCAACGUGUGCAAAACUGUCAGGCUGCAAAAUUAUCAGCGGGAACAAAUGCAAGCCCCCUAACGACCACCUCACCCUUGACCCGGACACUGGUAAAUAAUAAAUUUAUCUCACUUGAUUUCUUCGUGAUUUGAGUCGUUAAUGUAUUUUCCAUCUGAUGAAACGUAUUGGUUUUGCAUUGAAGAGGAAGUUAAUGUGCUUAACUUCUGCAAGUUGGGGUGUGCGUCGUCUGUGUGCAACAACAUCAACGCUGGUAAGCAACUUUUGCUCAGACAGAGAAAACAAUAAUCAUUAAUUAGCGGCAGCUAGAAUCCUAUAAUCUAAUAUAUAUAUAUAUAUAUAAUUUUAUCAGCUCUGGGAAAUGAAGAGGCGAACGAUGCCGUUGAGAGUUGCGACCAAGCCUGCUCUAGCUUCUGCAGCGUGCAUGUUGGCAGCGCCACCGUGGUUGCUUAAGCAAAUGCAUCCAACUAGAUCGUCCUUGUGCUGAAUAAUUGGAUAUCGUAUCCACUUAAAGCUGCCUUGUGUAGUACGUCUUUGUGUCUCUCUUUAUAUUCCAAUAAGGUCGGUGAUCUUGAUGCCACACACUCAGAUGUGUGUUCAUCUCCAGAUACUACUCCAUGCUACCUGCCCUUUGUGUUUUGUUCAAUAACUGGGUAUCAUAUCCCAGCCAGUAUGCCGUCUGUUUUGUGUUUGUUUCCUUCUAGUUCCAAAGGGGUCAUCAUGAUGUUACCUUCUUUCAAUAUGGUGCUUUGCAUGACUACUGUUGUAUGGUACCAUCUUGUGGCCAAUAAGUACAUCUUAUCCUAUGACCUUUGCUAUGACCCUUUGCAAAUAAGUAGAAGAUUGUUAUAAGCGUCAAUACUCCGUAUAAAUUGAUCGCUGCUGUGAGUUCCCUUUCAGCUUAUCGUAGGCAUACAUUAUUGCUAGCACGGUAAAGCCAACCAACACGAAUGAUGAAGUAAACGUAGCGGUACUUCUGUAUACCAACACCCUUACUUAAAUGUACCGGUGUCAUUCCCUACUGGCACAUAUAUUCUUAUAUGCUAGCCAGCUUGUAAAAUUAACCAAUUAAAAUAAUUAUUUCAAGAUAGAAAUAACUUAUCGGUUUCUGGAAGCAUGUGUAAUGUGAAUUCAAGGACUCGACGGAAGUUGAAUCACUUCAUCUAUAUUGCUUUCAGUAUUUUGGGUAACUAAAUUUAACAUUUGCACAUACAAAUGUUAAAGUACAAAUGUUAAAUCUAGUUACCCAAGCAGAAUAUGAAGAUAGUUUAUAGUAUAUAUAUACUAUAUAAAUCUAGUUAACAUUUAGUCUAAAUGUUAAAUCUAGUUACCUAAAAUCCUGAAAGCAAAAUGUAUAAAUAUAUAUCUUUUAAGGCAGUAUAAGCUUCGAUUCCUAUUGCUGCUCUGUUAAAUCUCAUCUUUCGUUGUGGCCCAACACUCUAGUAUGCAUGUUGCACCAAGCUUCUUUGAGCCGCUCUGCCCUCUGAUUUUGCUGCGUAGGGGAAUCUUUAUCAGGUUGGGCUACUUCCAGUUGUGCGAUGUAAAGAUUCGUAUUUUCUAGAAGGUAGACAAAAAACUCGCGUUCUCUUAAGGCAACAACCGGAAGAUUCUGCAGCGCACAGGGCAUACCAUUAUUGUAGAAACGACCUUUAGUACCGAUCUCCAACCCCCUUUAAAACUGGUUUUGCAACCGGUACCGUUAUGUCGGUCCUUUAGUACCAGAUCAAAUAAGUACCGGUUGGUAACCAGUAUCAACUUGUUUUGCGGCCAAAAAAAUAAAGAAAAAAACAGUCAGAAGGCUCGCGCACACGCGCAUCACAUGAAAUAUGCGUGUGCGGGGUCCAUGGGAUUCGAACCCAUGAAAUCAAGCUGCGCGCGACCCUUCGUUACCAUCUCACCUACAUAGCGCAUAUGCUUUCCUGAAGUAACCCGUGGAGGAGGCUUUAGUACCGGGUCAUAACACCACCCGGUACUAAAAAUGACUCUUCAGUACCGGGUCAUAACACCACCCGAUACUAGUAUCGGAUGGUGUAAUGACCCGAUACUAAAAGGCCUCUAGGGACCCUCAAAUUUGAACCCGGUACUAAUGCUAAUAUUAGUAGCGGGUCAAAGUGCAGCCAGAACUAAAGCAUGGGAUGAAAGGUCAUAUUUCUAGUAGUGUAUAGUUGUUGUGAAGGACUGACUUGGCUGUCCUCUCUCUUCUCCAUCCCCUUGGUCUUACGCCGCCGCUCGCACGCGAGCCGGUGCCCAACCAGAGGAGUGAGAGCUAGGGGCAGGUUGGGAGGUGGGGAUAGUGACUGGUGGCCAGGGUGAUGGUUGAUCCUGGUGGGGUUAGGGUUUUAGGGUUUUCGAGCUUCCUAUGGUCGGCGAACCUAGAGGAGGAGCUCAACAUCAGCUGCAACCCGCGAUGGUGGUGGUUUGGCCGGCGCCCGAGGCGAGGCAGCGCGGGAGUGCUGCCGGUGGGUUGGUGUUGGCACUCAUUAUUGACAACUAUUUUGUUCAUAAAAUAACACUCAAACUUGCUGCUGCUGCUGCUGCUGCCAUCGCCACCCUAGCCAUAAUAUAAAGGCAAAAUUUGCUAAAGGACAUGCAAAAUGAUGCUAGUUUGCUGGCGGGCAUCGUUGACCUUGUAAUAUGCUACAAGACACUCUAGUUGUGUAUCAAUUUGCUGAAAGACAUUGCUAUGACUAAAAUAAUGUUUCUGGACUGAGUUGGAGAGAGAGAUGGAGUGAAAUGUCUGUUUUGCCCAUGACCCCACUGGUCAGAUCCUUCUUCUUCCACCCUCCUUUGUUCUUUCUUCAACCAUUACCCAGCUCCAGCGUGUUGCAGAUCUACGAGGGUGGCGGCCUGGGGCGAGGGGCAUCGCUCGCCCUUGGAGGAGCGCUGCGAGCGACGGCGCGGGGGCGGCAACAGCGCGUCAGAACCUGACUGUUCGUUAGCUCCUCUCGCUGCUGGGGAAGGAGGGGGAUGGGCCAUGGACGGGGUUCCCUUGAAAACCUCAGCGUCGAGCUCGGGCGGCUACGCGCAGGCAGCACUAGGCUGCUUCACGGGGAGGGGGCGCGGCCAAUCAUUGGCACCCCACUGGUCCAAUGCUGAUGAAGAUGGUGCCAGCGUCGUGUGAGGACAUCUCAUCUCCUCGAGUUCCAUGGCCAGCACAGGUGAGCUGCCGCUACCACAAAACAGAGGUUUCGUGAGAGUCAAAAAACCUUAUGAAAAUAGCUAAAACCAUCAUGAAAAUAAUCCGUGACAUGACACUCUCACGAAAAUCCUCUCACAAAUAUGGUGCCAUGAAAAUACCAUUUUCAUGAGAGUGAACUGUCAUGAUUUUAUUUCGUGAGAGUAUUUCCUAUCAAUGACCUCCACGAAAUACUUUGUGCCACCAGGUCUUCAAGAUCAUUUUCAUGAGAGCUGAACAUCAGGAAAAGUCCGCCACAAAUGUUUUUCUUGGAGCCCCUAACUCUCAUGAAAAUCAUGCGGGCCGCCACGAAAAACAGCAUGACCAAAUGACAAAUUUCAUUUUCAUGUGUUCAUACCGCCAUGAAAAUGGUCAUUUUCAUGAGAGUUGAUGAAACAAAAAAUAGUGCCAUUUUCAUGAGAGUUCAAGCAACCAGGAAAAGACACUAAUAAACAUCCAGAUCCCAUCCAGCACACAUCCAUGCACAUAUAUAACCCACAUAUUGCUCCAGCACACAUCCAUGCAUAUACAAGAUCCAAAUGUUAAUAUAGUAGACAUCCAUGCCUGAACUAGUCUGCCACACAAGUCAUUGAUGCUACAAAUCCUACAAUCGCAGCAUGUGCAUACAAGUCACAGAAUGAGACAAUGUACCCAAAACUAAAAGGUUAGCAUCAACUGUGCUUCAACCAAAGUUGUCAUCCCAACUCUCCUCUUCAUCCAUGCCAUUCUUGUCGUGGCCGUCACUGUCAGUCCCCAUGGCAUUGCCAAUGCUGUGCAUGUCUUGGUAGGAACCUACAUGUGAUGAACUAGUAACCUGCAAAAAGAGCUCAAAGGAUCUUGUUCUCAUAUUGUAGCUGUGAAAUUCUUACAAGUAGUGUUGCAAUCAGUUCACUUUGAACCAAAAGAGCUCAAAGGAUCUUGUCCUAAAAGUUCCUCAUAAAGCUUAUGGGUUUGCUGGUGGAACUGGAAGGGCUUGAUGCAGCAGAUGCCAUUCUGCAAUAGAGAAAAAUUUAGAGAGCAGUACUAGUUAAAAUUGGAUGCAGAAGAUACACAUGAAACUAGUAUUUAUACAAGUCUAUACAAUUAAAAUCUAAGGAGACUUAUCAUCGUUUUCAUGUGUUGUGAAUUAAAAUAAUGAAGGAUACACUGUUAGGUGAAAAUUCAAGAAACAAAAUUUUGCAUAGAGAUAAAGGUCCAACAUUAUUACAAGUUAAGGUAGUUUUAAAUAUCCUUGUAAUCUUCCUUUGGUUUCCUCAACGAUUCGAAGACAAUAACCUUGCUUCUAUCAAUGAUAAUUAUAAGGAGAAUCCAGUGGAAACUGUGUAUUCGUAUUAGAACUACCUAAGGUUAAUUAGGUUAGGAAAGGAAAUUGAAAAUAGAUGGUACCCACACUUACUUAAAGUUGUCGGGCAAUAGUAUGUAAUGCUUGUAAUUCCGUUGCUCCAAGAAUUUGUAUAUGUGGUCCAAUGUAGACUUUGGUUGAUCCCGUAUCUGCUGUUGGUUAAAUAAGUGUUUCUAGCCAUUUCUAGCCAUUAGAACCGGGACUAAAGGGGGCUCUUUAGUACGGGUUGAUAUUACUAACCGGGAUUAAAGAGCCCCCAUUAGAGUUGGUUUUUGGAUGCGGAACUAACAACUCCUUUAGUCCUGAGUACGAAAACAACUGACAUAUUUGUUGCUGGAUGGAAGGUCCUUUCUCUACCGUGAAUAUUGCCAGAAAGAAUUGAAAGAGACUGCUUGCUAAAAAUAUGUCAUAGAUGUAGACCAAGCUACCAAGGAGGUAGACCAAACAUGAUACACACCAUGCGUACCUUGCUGUGCAGACUAUGCAUUGACAAGAUACCCGACCACAUGUUGGCCUCGGUCACAUCAAAAGAAUCAUGUAGGCCACCAAUAAACUACUUGAAGCGGCAUUCCGUAUCGUAUAUGCAUUGCCGGUUCAUCUGCAUUACAUUACAUAAAGCACUAUUAACUAUUUGAAUAAAAUGAACCAAUUUAAAAGUAAUGUGUUGUACUCUACUAUAGAAAGCCCUAUCACUGCCGGAUCCAAAAACAUCAUUGUUAAUGGUGGUUAAGUACCAAAUAUGACGGUCAAUAUUCUCAAGAAUAAUGGAGAAUUAGCAUUUCUUAGACACAUAUUUGGUUUUGAACAAUGUAGUUCCACAUGUCUUUGGAGAUUAUUUGGGUGUGGGUGAAAUAAUACAAAAAUAAGGAGAAAACACACUCCCAUGGCGAAGAAACACAACUCCAACCAAUGAGAGAUAGCCACAGGGGCAGCACACGGAUCCAUGGGCCCACUAACCGCAUCAAACCAUCUUACCAAGGCAGGUAGCACCCACAACCGUCAUUAGGACCCACCUGGAAGUCUACCAAGAAGAAGGUUGCGAGUGGGGCCAGGAGGGGUUCGGUUGAAUCAUCUCUAGCUAGCUCCCCUCAUCCCCAGCUGGUGGGUGGUGGUGGUUGAUGGUGUCCCUACAUCAGUUAGAGGAGAUUCCCCCAAAUAUUCCUCCUGUAAACCACCUCUAUGGACCUAUACAUAGAGGGGUGUGCUCUCCAUUCCAACACACACCACAAGUUGAAUCACUCUCUCCCUCUUUAGUUUCCAAGUUUAUGGAGUUAGGCUAGAGUAGCUCUGCUCAAGGUUCCAAGUCCACUUGGAGUUAAGCAUAUGUCUCUUGUAUCGUUAUUUCCUAAAUUGACUUUAUGCUUAGUUCUUAUAUGCAUGAGUUAGUCUAAUACCCUUGCUAUAUUGAUAUGCUCGGCUUAUAUGCUCGUAUGCUAGUCAUAUACCCUUGCUGUCGUAGUAUAGGCUUAUAUGCUCUCAUGUGUGCCUGUAGACCUUGCUAUAGUAUAUACUUGUUGUGCAUACAUACCAUGUAUAGGCUAGUCGAUCUAUACCAUGGCAUUGGUUCAAUAGCCAUGUUUUUGGUGGCUCCAACCCUAGUCACAAUAGCUCGGGACAGCUGGAGUGUUGUUAAAAAUGCAAGAGUGGUGCUUGGGUUGUUUAGCAUCGUUGGAUAUGGGUUUGCCCCACGGGUUUCUAACGGUAGGCGGCAGCUAGUGACAUCCCUGUCCGUCCUUCGUAAUCCCCCCACAUUCAGGUACGCCAUAAAUGUUCGUAAAUUAGCAGUAACUACGCCGGUACACCUGUAGGGUAUUGUCUCCCUGUAGUACCUUGGUGCAUAGAACUAAGUCCUAUACACUGUGUGUGUAUGUUUACGCUGAUAUGAUCUGUGCAGUAUAUAGGAUGUAUAUAUGAACCUAGAGCUAACUCCUAGUCCGUUCUCCAUAGCUUAGUUAUCUUGAGAUGAUUCUUCUGUAUGUGUAACACUACCCAUCUUAUCAUUAUCCUUGAUCCUGUCUUGUGUAAUAUAUCUACUCAUCCUAUGAUAUACUCAUAUGCAUAGUAAACUAUUUUGACCUACCCGCCUUCCUUUGGGAAAUAUGAUACCUUGGAAUAAUCCUAGGUGAAAUCCUACAACGGUAUAUCCAUGUAAAUGCGGAUUUAUUCAUGACCAUUAAAUAUACCAACAAUCAUCACUGUGAGUUUUGGGCGUCGUUAGUGAAGGGUUGGUAGUGAUGGGCAUCCCCUUCACCAAUGGACCUGGAACCGGCGGUGAUGGCUAUUAUAAAAAAGGGGACACCACCCAGCGUACCCCACGACCCGGCCGGCCGCACCUCCCAUCAUCCCCGCCAGCCGCCCUUCCUUUUCGCCGGCCGAGCAUGGUCCCGGCCUUUGUCCCUACCACCUCGCCUCCACCGCGACCCCCCGCCGAUGCCCUCGUGCCUGGCCCCCCUCAUCUUGCCGGCCACCCUCCCGAUGCGUCCACUGGGGCCCUCGCACCACCAACCGCCCUUGCUUAGAGAGGGAGAGAGAGGAGGGAGGUGAGGCCACGCACCUCGUCCUACACCGCCGCUGUUUCUCCUCGGCCCACCGCGCCUCACCCCACACCACAGCCGCGCCUUGCCAUCUUACCGGCUGUGACGCCUCAUCUCACCGGCCACCGUUCCUCACCCCCACUUCGGUCGUCGCCGCUCCUUGCCCUACCGCUGCUCUUUGCCGCUGCGAAUGAGCGCCGAGUGGAGGAGGAGGGAUGGGGCAGGAGGAGGGCAAGAUCCGGGAGGAAGGGAGAGAUCUCGGGAGGUGGAGAUGGAAGGAUAUGGCGGAAGGGAGAGAUCCAGAGGGAGAGAGCAGGGGAGAGAGGGGGGCGUGUGGGGAGAGAGCGCGUGUGGGGUGGGGCCGGGCUGGUGGGAUGGAAGGGAGAGGGGCUAGACGGGCGCAGUGCAUUCAACUGGAUGAAGUAAAUAUUUUGGAUUCGAGACCCCAGCUUUAUUAUCACCGCUGGUCCGUAGUACCAUCCGGUGCCUGCUCGUAAUUUAAUUUGAAUCUGCGGUGAUGUUUUAUUAUCACCAUCGGAUCAUAUAAAAAUCCGGCGGUUAAAAAUCCGCUGGUUUCGAUGAAAACCGACGGUGAUAGGAUGACUGUGAUAGUCUCUUCUCUAGUAGUGGUAUAUUAGUACCGGCUGCCGGAUGGUGUUGCCGACCAGUACUUCUCCGGGGGCGAUUCAGUACUGCUGUUAGCAAAGCUUGUUCUCUAUGAAUUUGGGGAUGGAAAGCUAGUUCUCUAGUUGUGAUUUGUUACAUAUAUAUCUAUGAUAGUCUAGAAAUUGCAUGUCCUUCGUUGACAUAGUUGAAGCUGCUUCAAGAAUUUACUUCGUGCAGUCGUGCAGCAUAUUGGAUUAUCACCUAGACAGGAUACAUAGGUGAAGCAUUGGAUGUGAUUGUGGCCGAUAAUUAUGCAGGACGCUGUUGCAAUCAACCACCAAGAAGUCUGGAGUGAUGGGGUUGCCUCAUCAAUAAUUUUUAUAUAUGGCUGCAGUAUUAUUAAGCCCACGUCAAUAAUUUUUUGUCCGCACCAUAUAUCGAUGGGGUUGCCUCAUCAAUAAUUCGCGCAACCAGACAAGCUGCAGACUCAAUAUGGUACGAAGCUAGUUGCUCAGCCCACAUGCUCUGAUAUAACAUUGACAUCUGCUGAUCUACAGUAUAUAUGACCAGAAAUAUUGUGCCCACCUCAAUAACUUUCUGAAGUAUCGUGGGGAAGAACCUACGCGUACUAUGCCUCGGAACUAACUGACAUAUCGGCCCAGGCGGUCUAGGCCGAUUGGACUGGCUCUUCCUUGUGGCUUCUCACAUCCCCUUCGUCCCCAAGUAAUUUCAGGUGUUCUGUAGUUUUCUUUUCACUUGCAUCUGAGCCUCCUAUAUCAAUAGCUUCGGGAUAAGAAUGCCUCUUGAUAACCUUCCAAAUCCUCGCUUGAUUCACAUUGAUUCCGAAAUCAUCUUGCCAUAUCUUCAGAGACUUAGGUCCUAAGGCAUCAUGGAGGAUUGCUCGCCAAGAAUGAGCACCAUUGGGCUCCUGAGGACCCUAGGCCGAUCAGCCCGGGCUCUAUAGGUCGAUUGGCCCAGGCCCUCUCUGGGCCUGUUGGCCUUCAUCUUUCUUUGAGUCGACGCUUAUUCAGGGCUUUGUCCAAUUAUAGUCCAUUAUAGUCUAAUUUCCUAAAAAACAGAAUGUCCUCCAAAAUACAAUGCAUAUGUGAAAACAACCCAAUUAUUAGGUAUGAUCAAUAGUUUAGGUAUUAAAUUAAUAUUAUUAUUUAAGAUAAACAGGGGUAAAGGGUGUCAUUAAUAACAAGCGCCAACAAGCGUCCUAGCUGUUCAAUAAAUUUUUUCUAGUACCGAUUGGUAACACUAACCGGUGCUAAUAUGUACCCUUUAUUACCGGUUAUUUUACCAGGUACUAAAGGAGACAAGAGCAUCCUAACAUAAGGUUAAUAUCAUCCAUUUCAUGAGUAAAAUACUAUGAUUCAAAAAUAAUUCAAAUCCCUUAAGACAAUACCUAUCAAAUGAGUAAAUUGUAAAUAGAGUAAUCUUGAUCAAACAAUGUCCUAAUGAAACGGAACACUUCUGGUUCGUGUAGAGCACAAUAUAGAAAACAGUAGGGUAGCUGUAUGAUUGACACGUGGUCCAUUAAUUAUUGAGCCAACACUAUGGACAUGUCUUCAUGAGUAGUGUACUAGUCAUAAUACAUGGUAUGCAGUAGGUGGAGGUAUUGACUUAGCCAUGCUAUGAGCACUUAGUUACAACAAACACUUUGCCAUUAUCGAGCAUCCCAAAUCACUACAAAAUCCAUAGUUUACCAUAUACUACAAAAUCUGAGUUAAAAUAAGAGCAUACACGGAAGAGUCCGAAUGCACGGCACAUUGAAUUACUAGACAAAAUUUAUGGGACAAGGUUUUGGGUAACCGCAUGAAAAAUAUUGGAUUUUACUGAACACUUAGUUACAAUUACCAUGCCCGUGAGCACUUAGUCACCACAAACAUUUAACCACUUUAGAUCAUCCUGAAUCCCUAUAAAUUCUAUACCUUACACCGUACCAUGAAAACGACAAGAACAGAGACAGAUGCGGUGAAAAUCUCCAGAGCAAGCCUGAAAUUAAAAUAAGAGGAGGCAGUCACUAUCGACAGGACACGGAGAUUGCUAGCCAUGACAGAGGAAGACAUGAUAUGAUAUUCACCUCUGAAAUGCAGCGUAGACUAAAUGAAGCACAAUUGCAAGUGAGUGUGGCAGAUAAUGGACCAUCGAGACCAUCGAAUGGUAUGAAGCAUGAUUAUCACCUAGACAUGAUAUCCUAGACAGGACGGUGAAUUGUAAAAAGAGUAAUCUUGAUCAAAGAAUGUCCUAAUGAAACGGAACAUUUUUGGUACGUGUAGAGCAAAAUAUAGAAAACAGUAGAGUAGUUGUACGAUUGAAACUGCAUCCAUCGACGUGGUGCAUGAAUUGUUGAGCCAACACUGUGGACAUGUCUUCAUGAACACCAUCUAGUGAGGACAGCAUGCAGAAAAAUAUAAAAACAUGUCAUAGGGAGGCAGACCAAUCUUGCGAGGUAGACGAAACGUGAUACACGAUCUGCCUACCUUGUCGUGUGGAUACCCCAAGUGAAGAUGUCAUAGAGGUGCAGACCAAGCUAGCAAGGAGGUAGAUGAAACGUGAUACACGGCCUGCCUACCUUGCCGUGGAUAUUAGUCCUGAUAUCAUUCUAUUGUUCAAGGAAUAACACUCAAUGCUGCUGCUGCUGCUGACCUGGCUCCAUAAAGUUAUAUUCCUCUAGCCGCUUGCACUAACUUUAUCUGAAGUAUUAUUCUCUCUGCACUGUAUAUAUGGUUACGGAGUUUGCUGGAGUAUCCGGGGGGAAGAACCUACAUAAUAUGUCUUGGAACUAACUGACAUUGAUUCACAGACAAGGUGCUGUUGUUGACAUGGUACAGUAAAUAAUAUAGUUUACCAUAUACCGUAUACCAUUAUAUGUUAGCUAAAAUAAGAGCAUAACAUGUCGCAGGAGUCCAAAAGCACCGGUUGAGGACCAGGUACAUUAAAUUACUAGAAAACAAAAGGGGACAAGGUUUAGGUAGCCACAUGAAAAACAUUUGAAUUUACUGUACCAUGAACACUUAGUUACCAUGCCGGGAGCACCUAGUUAACACUAACAUUUAGCCACUUUAGAUCAUCCCGAAACACCAAUGACCCUCAAUAGCGACAAAUUUUGGUUUAAAUGCCGUCACCAAUGAUCCUCAAUAGUGACGUGUUUAGGUUUAAAUCCCAUCACUAAUAACCCUUGGUAGUGACGUGUUUUGGUUUAAAUCUCAUCACCACUGAUCCUCACUAGUGACGUGUUUUUAGCAACACACGUUAUGAAUGACUUGUCAUUGGUGACAUGUUAAACGCGUUAUCUCAAUGGCAAAUCAAUGGUGACGUGUUUAAAAAAACAUGUCACUGUGAGAGUUAUUGGUGAAGGGUAAUUAAAAUGCAUCACUAAUUUUGUAGCAUUAGUUAUGAUAUAAUUUUGUAACGCAAAAAUCUACCAUAGUAAUGAGGUUUAGAGCCAUCACUAAUGUGGGUUUCUUAUCGUAGUGAUGCAAGCUCUACAAGGUGCUGUUGUUGCCAUUUUAAAGCAUCCCAAAUGACUACAAGAGUCCGGUUGAGGACUAAACAAAUUGAAUUACUAGAACCAAAUGUAUGUCCAGAACAAAGAAAGGGGUCAAGGUUUGGGUAACCGCAUUAAAAACAUUGAAUUUUACUGUACCAUGAACACUUAGUUACCAUUACCAUGCCUUGAGCACCUAGUUACCACAAACAUUAAUUUAGCCACUUUAGAGGUUCCACAAUCACUAUAAAUAAUAUACCAACACCGUACCAUGAAAACAUCAAGAAGAGAGACGGGUACAUGGACCACCAUCAAGUGAGUAGUGACAGCACGCACAAGAAUACCCGGAACCUUUUAGCUUGUCUGUAGUGAUCUGUUUUCUUCGCCACAAAUAAUGAAAGAGGCUGACCAAGCUAGCAACGAGGUAGAGCAAACGUGAUACACGUAGGUUUCAUUCAAGACAUCCAUGUAAGAUUCAUUCAAAACAUUCAUGGAAAUUUCUUGUAAGUUUUCAUGUAAAUUUCAUUCAAGACAUUUGUUAGAGGUGUUGUAUAUACACUUAACGUACAUAUAUCUAUGAUUUCAUGGUUGUUAGUGAUGGCAGAUGAGGAGCAUGCAAGGUGUUUAAUGGAGCAGAUUAUUGCUAGUGGUAGUGGCUCCAACCUGCCCGUAACGUACACCGACGAAGAGGGCAGCCAGGCGGACAUGUUCCUCAACAUGUCCGGUGAUGGCAAUGAAGAGCCCGAGCAAAACCUUGCCGUGACGGAAGGUUCCAUCGAGGUAUAUAUCAUUUCCAUUAUUUUACCCCAUCUAUAAUUUCAUAUUCAUUAUUACUAUGUGCUAAUUAAUGAAUCUUGAACCGUUAGUCCUCUAGAUCAACGAACCGAAAUAAGCCCCGAGGUCUUACAAAGAUAAUGCAGGGAAGGCUUCACAUCAUGGAAGUCACAGAAGAGGGCACAUCGGUUGCUCCCGAACAUGUGGCAAGAAAGUACGUGAGUCAAACCGGGGCAAUCGUAAGGGACAACAUGCCCAUCAGCAUCAGGGAAUGAAAGAGCAAUAGAAAUGAUCUAUACGCACCCCCGGAUACACAAAAGGAUAUGUUGUGGGCAAAUAUCAAGAAACACUUCACAUUUCCCAAAGGAUAUGUUGAAAAAUAUGUGAAAGCGUGGAUGUUGAAGAAGAUGGCCACCCAAUUCCAGACAUUCAAGAAGAUGUUGGAUGCCAACUUCAUCAAGAAGGGUCGAACUCCGGGUUUCAAUGAGUGGCCAAAGUUAAGGGACCACUGGGAGUCGUUUGUCGAAUACAAGACGAGCGAAGGUGGUGCGAGUAAGGUUCACAUCAAUGUUGCCAAUGCUAGCAAGGAGUACCAUCAUCAUCUAGGGCGACGUGGUUACAGCUCUGCAAUUCCCAGAUGGCGCAAGAUGGAACAAGACCUGAUCGAUCGGGGUAUCGUACCAGCAACUCUUGACUGGAUCGAUUGAAAAAUUGGUAUUAUGCUCAUGAAGGCAAUCUGAGCCAAGAGGAUCCGACAUUGGUCUUCAAUAAAACAAUACGUCAGAAGGUCGGAAGGCUUAUUAGGAACAUUGAAGAUGCUAAAGCUGGGAGGUUCAAGGUGGAUAGAGAGAAUGAUGAACUCACAUUGGCCCUCGGGACUGUCAUCUCUAGCACUUCCAGCUCCAGGACUAUCGUCACCACCGGGACCGUCGCUUCCUGCUCGAUCACAGUCUCCAUCUCCAGCACAUCCUGGUGGUGCGAGCGACGACGACAACAACACCCCUCCCUGCCCACCAUUGCCGGGACUAAGACCCGCAUUGAGUAAGGAACCUGCAACACCACUGAAGAAGUCGCGACCACCACCUUCAAGGCAAGUCAGCAAAAGAAGAAAGCAGAGAAGCCUAAACCCACUGAGAAGCCAGCGACUGAUAUGACCGAUGCGGAAAGAUGGAAGGCACUCAAAGAAGAAUGCAGGGAGUGGUUCAGCGAAGGCGAAGGUGAGAAAGUCGUAUGAAUCGAAUUCAAGGAUAUAUAUGAAGUGAACCAUCAGGAUGCCCUUGAUGUCUCUCUCAUCAGCGCCUAGGUUCUGUAAGUGUAUGUUUAUCUAUAAGUAAAUUUUGGCUCAUAUCAUUAUUUUUUUUGCGUGCGUCACCCUACUAACUUCGUCUUCCAUUUUAUGUAGGAUGCUAAUUCAGACGUGCCGCAUAGAAGCGUACUUCCAUGUUGGAUUCAUGGAUCCAUCCCUAGUUAACCAAAAGCCGAUACGGAAGUAGCUAGAGAAAACGUUGGAGGUGGUGUACAACCUCCUGGACAAACUAAACUACAGAAUAGGGGCAAUAUGUGAGGGUCUUGUAGGAUUCCUAGUGGACGAGGUGAUAAAUCCAUAAGGAGAAUAUCAUUCCAACGGACGAGCAUUAGACACACUGAGCAACACCUAGAUGGGAGGAUCCUAGGAAUGACCUCGACAGAUUUUGGUAUAAAUAGUAAUUGUGUAAAUACUAGUUUGAUUUGUAUAGGAAUAUACUAAGAAUUGUAUAUAUAGUAAUUGUACAAAUACUAGUUUGAUUUGUAUGAAUACUAGAUUGAUUUUAUUAUAAAAAAGUUUUAAGUCGUACGUGCAUGCGCCUACAAAGGCGCGGAUGCCUUUUAAUCCCAGUCGGAAAAACAAACUGGUACUAAAGGGGCUCGUGCCGCACCUGGCAUGACCACCCCUUUAGUCCCGGUUGAACGACCCAGGACUAAAGAUCUCCGCGUCUCAAAAAUUUUAUCUCGGAUGCUUUUUAGAGAGAUUUGAGGCCUAUCAACCAAGACUAAUAUCGAGUUUUCUACCAGUGAAACUAACUAACGUUCACAUGGUUUUGACAUUCACCUGCCAUUUGGUGUAGACAAGGGCACCCUAACAUAUGGUUAAUAUUAUUCUUGAAAGAAAAUCCUUUGAUUCAAAAUACUUCAAACCUAAUAAUACAAUACUUCUCACAUCUGAAAAAUAUGAGACGGCCCGACAGUAUUCUAAUCGACGCAAUAAUAUUUUGAGGGCAGCACUACUACAGCGACCCUCAUUCGUGCCGGUGCUGGGACUCCUAUCACGACCCUGAUACAAAUGAGGGUACAUUAUUGGUGCCAGUGCUAGAACAGCCACGAAUAACUUGCUAAACGUGCUGUUACACUCACUACAGGGACCAAGAAGGUAGAUAAAUUACACGACAUAGCCUUGGUUGCCGUGGAAGCGCCAAGAAGGGAGACAAAUUACAGGGACCACACCAUCAAGUAGAUAGUGACAAUAUGCAAAAGAAUACCCGCGCCUGUUAGCAUGUGAACUGACCACACCACGAAACGUGAUACACGGCAAGCGUACCAAGGCCUUGCUGUGCAGACUAUGCAUGGACAACACAUGGUACCUGACCGCUUUUGGCCUCAGACACAUCGAAAAACUGCAUCGUUCCACGUUGUACAUCCAUUGCUAGUUUAUCUAUAUUACAUAAUAUAUUAUUAGCUAUUUGAAUAGAAUGAACCAAUUAAAAAAUUGCGUUGUAUUUUUAGUACCGGCUGCAGGAUGGUGUUACCAACCAGUACUAAUUGGCCUGUAGGAGUGAUGGUUAUUAGACUUGGUACUGUUGUUAGCAUCAUUAACCUAAUUGUGCGCCGUAUGAAUUUGGGGAUGCAAAGCUAGCUCUCUAUGAAUGUGAGGGAUGGAAAGCUAGUUCUCUAGUAGUAAUUAUAUAUAUGACAGUCAAGAAAUCGAACACUAUGCUGCUACGAGUCACCAUCAUUUCCUUCAUUGACAAUCUGACAUAGGUGAAGCUGCUUCAAUAAUUUCCUUCGCGCAGUCGUGGAGCUUAUUGGAUUAUCACCAGGACGGGACACGGAAAUGGCCAGCAAUGAAGCUGAUUGCCGUCUGAGGAAGACUACAUACUUACCUAUGAAAUGAAGCGAUUGCAUAGACUAAUGAAGCAUUGCAUAUUUGCAUGUGAGUGUGGCAGAUAAUUCUGCAGGACAUGAUUGCAAUCCACGCACCAUCGAGAAGACUGGGGCGAUGGGGUUGCCUCAUCAAUAAUCACGUGGAUGCAUGCAUGCAUGUUCCCGCAACCGGACAAGGGUCUGAUAUAUGGCUAUAGUAUUACUGAGCCCACAUCAAUAAUUUCCACUGGUGUAUCGUGUGGGAAGAAUCAACAUACUACACCUCGAGUUCUUGGAACUAACUGACGUUCACAUGCAACCUCCACAAGGUGCUGUAUGCUUUUGACAUUCACCUGCCAGUUCGUGUAGAGAAGGACACCCUAACGUAUAGUUAAUAUUAUCCAUUUCAUGAGUAAAAUACUGUGAUUCAAAAAUACUUCAAAUCCCUUGAGACAAUACUUCUCACUUGACUAACCACUAACCAACCCCGAAACCCUAACUCAACUCCGAACCCUAACCCCUAACGGCAUAACCACUCCGUUUUGCCGGCGAGAUGGAGGAACUGGCUGGAAGGUAGAGAGGGCAGCGGUCCAGGGUUGAAAACGACGGGCGAGCGCAGUAACAUGUGGAGGAGGAAGUGCCACGUAUUCGUUCACCGCUAUUGGGCAGCGACACACGACACGCCCAAUAAGAUCUUCGCACGGUAGAAGGACGUCAUGUAUUCAAUAAUGUUAUUGGUCCCCCAUGUGCAGAAGGGCGCGCGCGUAUGGAAUAACAAGUAGGGACACUGCAACUAAUCUACUCUGCUCGUCCAGUCCCUAGCCUAUAAAUAGAUGCCAUGCUAGCUCUUGUUGUGCUCACAAUUAAUCCGAUUACACACGAGCUUCUCUCCCUGGCCAAGACACAACCAUAGUAUGAUGAAGAACAUGGCACUAGCCGGCAAUGGUAUGAAGAAGUUAAUCCUCGCUGUUCUCUUACUGUGUCUAGUUAUAGGGCAGAUACAAGUGGAAGCUAAGAGCUGCUGCCCAUCCACCACUGCAAGAAAUGUCUACAAUACCUGCCGUUUCACGGGUACAUCCCGUCCAACGUGUGCAAAACUGUCAGGCUGCAAAAUUAUCAGCGGGAACAAAUGCAAGCCCCCUAACGACCACCUCACCCUUGACCCGGACACUGGUAAAUAAUAAAUUUAUCUCACUUGAUUUCUUCGUGAUUUGAGUCGUUAAUGUAUUUUCCAUCUGAUGAAACGUAUUGGUUUUGCAUUGAAGAGGAAGUUAAUGUGCUUAACUUCUGCAAGUUGGGGUGUGCGUCGUCUGUGUGCAACAACAUCAACGCUGGUAAGCAACUUUUGCUCAGACAGAGAAAACAAUAAUCAUUAAUUAGCGGCAGCUAGAAUCCUAUAAUCUAAUAUAUAUAUAUAUAUAUAAUUUUAUCAGCUCUGGGAAAUGAAGAGGCGAACGAUGCCGUUGAGAGUUGCGACCAAGCCUGCUCUAGCUUCUGCAGCGUGCAUGUUGGCAGCGCCACCGUGGUUGCUUAAGCAAAUGCAUCCAACUAGAUCGUCCUUGUGCUGAAUAAUUGGAUAUCGUAUCCACUUAAAGCUGCCUUGUGUAGUACGUCUUUGUGUCUCUCUUUAUAUUCCAAUAAGGUCGGUGAUCUUGAUGCCACACACUCAGAUGUGUGUUCAUCUCCAGAUACUACUCCAUGCUACCUGCCCUUUGUGUUUUGUUCAAUAACUGGGUAUCAUAUCCCAGCCAGUAUGCCGUCUGUUUUGUGUUUGUUUCCUUCUAGUUCCAAAGGGGUCAUCAUGAUGUUACCUUCUUUCAAUAUGGUGCUUUGCAUGACUACUGUUGUAUGGUACCAUCUUGUGGCCAAUAAGUACAUCUUAUCCUAUGACCUUUGCUAUGACCCUUUGCAAAUAAGUAGAAGAUUGUUAUAAGCGUCAAUACUCCGUAUAAAUUGAUCGCUGCUGUGAGUUCCCUUUCAGCUUAUCGUAGGCAUACAUUAUUGCUAGCACGGUAAAGCCAACCAACACGAAUGAUGAAGUAAACGUAGCGGUACUUCUGUAUACCAACACCCUUACUUAAAU
rnacentral:lncRNA from 1 species